rnacentral:rRNA from 1 species
GCCGACAAUUUUGUUAUCAGACUAAAACCACCCUGAAUGCAUUCAUUCUUGUCAGAUUUUUAGAAGCCAAGCUGCCCGAGCCUGGUUAGUACUUGGAUGAAAGGCUGCUUGUGAAUUCCAGGUGUUGUAGGUU